rnacentral:rRNA from 1 species
UAGUCCACGUCCAAGGGUGUAGGGCGAGCUGUAGGCAAAUCCGCAGCUCACAUAGCCUGAGACCUGAUAGUGACCGCGUAUGCGGGAAGCAGGGUGAUCCUAUGCUGCCAAGAAAAUCUUCUAGCGAGGUUCGAGCCGCCCGUACCCCAAACCGACUCAGGUGGUUAGGUAGAGAAUACCAAGGCGAUCGAGUGAAUCGUGGUUAAGGAAUUCGGCAAAAUACCCCCGUAACUUCGGGAGAAGGGGGGCCCAGAGGGUGAAGGCACUUGCUGCCUAGCCUGAACGGCCGCAGAGACCAGGGAGAAGCGACUGUUUACUAAAAACACAGGUCCGUGCGAAGUCGCAAGACGAUGUAUACGGACUGACGCCUGCCCGGUGCUGGAAGGUUAAGAGGACCGGUUAGUUCUUCGGAGCGAAGCUGAGAAUUUAAGCCCCAGUAAACGGCGGUGGUAACUAUAACCAUCCUAAGGUAGCGAAAUUCCUUGUCGGGUAAGUUCCGACCUGCACGAAUGGCGUAACGACUUCUCCACUGUCUCAACCACGAACUCGGCGAAAUUGCACUACGAGUAAAGAUGCUCGUUACGCGCAGCAGGACGGAAAGACCCCGGGACCUUUACUACAGCUUGGUAUUGGUGUUCGGUACGGCUUGUGUAGGAUAGGUGGGAGACUGUGAAGCAUGCACGCCAGUGUGUGUGGAGUCAACGUUGAAAUACCACUCUGGUCGUUCUGGAUAUCUAACCUCGGUCCGUGAUCCGGAUCAGGGACAGUGCCUGGUGGGUAGUUUAACUGGGGCGGUUGCCUCCUAAAAGGUAACGGAGGCGCCCAAAGGUUCCCUCAGCCUGGUUGGCAAUCAGGUUUUGAGUGUAAGUGCACAAGGGAGCUUGACUGUGAGACAGGCAUGUCGAGCAGGGACGAAAGUCGGGACUAGUGAUCCGGCGGUGGCUUGUGGAAGCGCCGUCGCUCAACGGAUAAAAGGUACCCCGGGGAUAACAGGCUGAUCUUGCCCAAGAGUCCAUAUCGACGGCAUGGUUUGGCACCUCGAUGUCGGCUCGUCGCAUCCUGGGGCUGGAGUAGGUCCCAAGGGUUGGGCUGUUCG